CACAAAACAGACAGAUUGUCUUCAUCUUCAAGAUGCUGUCAGUGAACUUGAGUCUGUUUGUCACUUUGUUUCUGCUCACAAUAAGAGAGUGUAAAGGAGAAGAUAAAGUGAUUCAGCCACCAGGAGAUGUCAUUGCUGCUGAAGGAGACACAGUUAUACUGGGAUGUACUUUUGAGACAACUGCUACAAGUUCUGAUUUGUUCUGGUACAAACAAGAAUUUCGCUUUCCAAAGUACAUUUUAAGACGUAGUACUUAUGGUGGAGAUGAUAAUGCUCCAGAGUUCCAUAAAGACAGAUAUGAUGCAAAACUCAACAAGACAUCAGUGUCUCUGAAGAUCCAGAAGCUUCAGCUGUCUGACUCUGCUGUGUACUACUGUGCUCUGAGGCCCACAGUGACAGGAAACAACAAAACUCUGUACAAAAACACAAGCUGACACUCUGACAAGUUGCUAAAAGUCUUUCCUCCGCUGUUGAACUCAGCUUUUUAGCUCCACUAGAGGGCCACAUUAUCAAGGAGGUGCUACAUGACUUCUGCACUGUGU